UGAACGCUGGCGGCGUGCCUACUACAUGCAAGUCGAGCGAACAGACGAGGAGCUUGCUCCUCUGACGUUAGCGGCGGACGGGUGAGUAACACGUGGAUAACCUACCUAUAAGACUGGGAUAACUUCGGGAAACCGGAGCUAAUACCGGAUAAUAUAUUGAACCGCAUGGUUCAAUAGUGAAAGACGGUUUUGCUGUCACUUAUAGAUGGAUCCGCGCCGCAUUAGCUAGUUGGUAAGGUAACGGCUUACCAAGGCGACGAUGCGUAGCCGACCUGAGAGGGGGAGCGGCCACAGGGGAACUGAGCCAGGGCCCGGCCUCAGCGGGGAGGCACAGGUAGGAAAUUGUCCGAAAGGGGAGAAAGCCUAACGGAGAAACCCGGCGUGAGUGAUAAAGGUCUUCGGAUCGAAAAACUUUUUUAUUGGGGAAAAACAAAUGUGUAAGUACCUAUGCGCGUUUUGAGGGUCCCUAAUAAAAAAGCCACGGCUAACUCCGUC
rnacentral:rRNA from 1 species